ACAAUCCAAAACACAAAUCAUCUAUGGAUAGCCCUGCCAAGCAUCACCCAACCCCGGGUGAGGAGUACGAAAAGCUCUAGGAGUCCCUAUCCUACAACCCUGAUGCUAGACCUCCAGACUUUCCUUAUCAAGGGUCAUGUCCUCGGAAACCGCAUUCUAGCCAUGUCGUAUCUAAUCACCUCUCCCCAAUACCUCUUAGGCCUCCCUCUGCCUCAUCGAACGCCGACAAUCGCCAGCCGCUCACAACUCC
rnacentral:lncRNA from 1 species